rnacentral:rRNA from 1 species
UUUAUCCUUGUUCGUCCAUCUGCAACAGGUGAGAAUGAGGUGCUUGCAAUGAGCGACUGUGCUAUAAACAUCCAUCCUACAGAGGACGAGCUUGUUGAAAUCGCAGGAGAAUCAGCAGAGUGUGCUAAGAUCUUCGGUAUCGAUCCAAAGCUUGCAUUCUUAAGCUACUCAACACUUGGCUCAGGAAAGGGCGAGGAUGUUGACAAGAUGAGAAACGCAGCUCACAAGGCAAAAGAGAAAUAUCCAAACCUUCCAAUCGAGGGAGAAAUCCAGUUUGACGCAGCCGUUGCACCACGUGUAGCCCGCACAAAGUGCCCACAGUCUGAGGUGGCUGGUCAUGCAAAUACAUUUAUCUUCCCUGACAUCAACGCAGGAAAUAUCGGAUACAAGAUUGCACAGAGACUUGGUAAUUUCGAAGCAUACGGCCCAAUCCUUCUUGGACUCAAUGCUCCAAUCAAUGACCUUUCUCGUGGAUGUAAUGCAGGAGAGGUUUACUCAAUGGCUAUCAUCACUGCAGCACUUGCAUAAGACAUUUAAUGGACUAUUCCAAUUUUAAUAAAGACCGCUCCGGUUUGUCCGGGGCGGUCUUUUAUUUGAAAAUAGCUUAAAAUAAUAUCUUGGCGCAACAGGAGAAAUAAGGUAUACUAUAAUUAAAAAACCAAAAUACAGAGCAAUGACAGUUGACAAUAACAUGAGGUGUUGUAUCUGAUAGAAAGAGAGACGAUAUAUGAGAGUAGGAAUGGGCUAUGAUGUGCACAAGCUUGUUGAGGGCAGAGAUUUGAUUUUAGGAGGAGUGAAGGUUCCGCAUACACUCGGGCUUUUAGGCCAUUCGGAUGCCGAUGUACUGUUGCAUGCGAUAAUGGAUGCACUCUUGGGUGCAGCGGCACUUGGCGAUAUCGGAAAGCAUUUCCCGGAUACAGACCCGGCAUAUGAGGGUAUUUCGAGUCUUAAGCUUUUGGAGCAUGUUAGGGCUCAGUGAAGUUGAAGUGUUUGUGAUGAUGCAAUCUCCCCGCGGCUAGACGGAAAGACCCCAUGAACCUUUACUGUAGCUUUGCAUUGGACUUUGAACCGAUCUGUGUAGGAUAGGCGGGAGCCUGUGAAACCACAACGCCAGUUGUGGCGGAGGCGUCCUUGAAAUACCGCCCUGAUUUGUUUGAGGUUCUAACCUGGGACAGUCAUCCUGUCCGGGGACCGUGCAUGGUAGGCAGUUUGACUGGGGCGGUCUCCUCCUAAAGGGUAACGGAGGAGUGCGAAGGUACGCUAGGUACGGUCGGAAAUCGUGCUGAUAGUGCAAUGGCAAAAGCGUGCUUGACUGCGAGACCCACAAGUCGAGCAGAUACGAAAGUAGGUCAUAGUGAUCCGGUGGCUCUGUAUGGAAGGGCCAUCGCUCAACGGAUAAAAGGUACUCUGGGGAUAACAGGCUGAUACCGCCCAAGAGUUCAUAUCGACGGCGGUGUUUGGCACCUCGAUGUCGGCUCAUCUCAUCCUGGGGCUGUAGCCGGUCCCAAGGGUAUGGCUGUUCGCCAUUUAAAGAGGUACGUGAGCUGGGUUUAAAACGUCGUGAGACAGUUUUGUCCCUAUCUGCCGUGGGCGCUGGAAGAUUGACGGGGGCUGCUCCUAGUACGAGAGGACCGGAGUGGACUCACCUCUGGUGUACCGGUUGUCACGCCAGUGGCAUCGCCGGGUAGCUAUGUGGGGAAGAGAUAACCGCUGAAAGCAUCUAAGCGGGAAACUUGCCUGAAGAUAAGUCUUCCUGGAGGCUAGACCUCCCUAAAGAGUCGUUCGAGACCAGGACGUUGAUAGGAUGGGUGUGUAAGUGCUGUGAGGCACUCAGCUAACCAUUACUAAUUGCUCGUGAAGCUUGAUCC